rnacentral:tRNA from 17 species
GCGCCCGUAGCUCAACCGGAUAGAGCAUCCGCCUUCUAAGCGGACGGUUGCAGGUUCGAGUCCUGCCGGGCGCGCCA